rnacentral:rRNA from 1 species
UACGUAGGGGCCUAGCGUUGUCCGGAAUUAUUGGGCGUAAAGAGCUCGUAGGCGGUUCGGCAAGUCGGAUGUGAAAUCUCCACGCUUAACGUGGAGGGGCCAUUCGAAACUGCUGUGACUCGAGUCCGGUAGGGGAGUGUGGAAUUCCCGGUGUAGCGGUGGAAUGCGCAGAUAUCAGGAAGAACACCCGUGGCGAAGGCGGCUCUCUGGAACGCAACUGACGCUGAGACGCGAAAGCGUGGGGAGCAAACAGG